AACGCACAUUGCGCCCGCUGGUAUUCCGGCGGGCAUGCCCGUUCGAGCGUCAUUUCAAUCCCUUCCCGGGAGACCCAGUUUUUAUUACUGGGUCUCGCGGGGCGUUGGCACUGGACGCCUUUUUUUUUAGGUGACCGGCGCCCAAAUAUAGUGGCGGACGCGUGGCGGCCCCUAGCGCAGUAGAACAAACCUUCUCGCUCAGGAGGCUCGCGGCGGCGGACCACAGCCCUAUGCAAGCUUUAAAAAACUUGCAACUAAAUAACAAACUUGACCUCGGAUCGGGUAGGACUACCCGCUGAACUUAA
rnacentral:misc_RNA from 1 species